rnacentral:lncRNA from 1 species
CCCAUCACAGAAACAAGACUUUCCUCUCUCCAAUAAAAACAAGAAGCCUUCUCUCCUUCACAGCUGCCAGUCUUCUAGACCGUGAGCAGAAGUCUUCUUGCCAGCUUCUCCUCUGCCAGUCGUGAGAAGCAGCAAGGUUUUUCAGCAUCAAUCAUGUUCGACAUCCAAGCAACGUCCACUCCCUUUCCUUCUUUGUUCACAGCAGCUUCGUUUUUCUUGUUCCAAUCGAGAGACAAGAUGAUGAUGUGUACUCCACGACAGGGGAACGACGCGAUUGGAUUUCAGAUCAACAUGUUCAGCGUCAAUCUCUGCAUCCGGACUAAAUACCUGAAAUGCAAGUGUGAUUCUCCAGCAGAUCUUCUUUGCUUUUCAACUGUUUUCGGACA